rnacentral:tRNA from 1 species
UUAGUUGAAACCAAAGAAAGAGGUAUAUCACUGUUAAUGAUAUAAUUGAAACAUAUUUUCCAAUUAAG